rnacentral:rRNA from 1 species
UAAACUAGGAUUAGAUACCCUAUUAUUUUAGAAUGUUAAUUGGUUUGCUUGAGUAGUAUUAGUUAUGUUCUUGAAACUUAAAGAAUUUGGCGGUAUCUCAUUCCGUCCAGAGGAAUCUGUCCCGUUAUCGAUAGUCCGCGUUGGACCUUACUUAGAUUGCUUGGGUUUGUAUACCGCCGUUUAUUGAUUAUCUUUUUAGAGUUUUUAAUUUUCUGGUUUCUUUAUUUUGGUUUAUUUCAGGUCAAGGUGCAGCUUGUUUCUAAGUGGAUUGAUGGAUUACAUUGUUAUUUGUUUAUGGAUUGUUGAUUUUAAUAUUGGUAUGAAAUUGGAUUUGGUUGUAAUUAUUUGUAGAUUGUUAUUAUGAUAAUUGGUUCUGGGAUAUGUACACAUCGCCCGUCGCUCUCGUUUGUUUAAUGAGAUAAGUCGUAACAUAGUA